CUGGCUCAGGAUGAACGCUAGCGGCAGGCUUAACACAUGCAAGUCGAGGGGCAUCGGGAGUAGCAAUACUUGCCGGCGACCGGCGCAAGGGUGCGUAACGCGUGAGCAACAUGCCCGUAUCAGGGGGAUAAUCCAUGGAAACGUGGUCUAAUACCCCAUAGUAAUUAUGUAAGGCAUCUUAUAUAAUUUAAAGCUUUGGUGGAUACGGAUUGGCUCGCGUGACAUUAGCUGGAUGGUAAGGUAACGGCUUACCAUGGCUACGAUGUCUAGGGGUUCUGAGAGGAAGGUCCCCCCACACUGGAACUGAGACACGGUCCAGACUCCUACGGGAGGCAGCAGUGAGGAAUGUUGGACAAUGGAUGGAAAUCUGAUCCAGCCAUGCCGCGUGCAAGGAAGACGGCCCUAUGGGUUGUAAACUGCUUUUGUAUGGGAGCAAUAAGGGCUACGUGUAGUCCGAUGAGAGUACCAUACGAAUAAGCACCGGCUAACUCCGUGCCAGCAGCCGC
rnacentral:rRNA from 1 species